ensembl:snRNA U1 U1 spliceosomal RNA
AGACUUACUUGGCAGGUUAGACACCAUGAUCAGGCAGGUGAUUUUCUCAGAGCAAGGCUCAUUCCUUGCACUCUGGGUGUGCUGAUUCCUGUGAUCUCAAAUGCAGAAAACUGAACUGCAUAAUCUGUGGUAGUAGGGAACUGUUCUCAUGCUCGCUCUCUC